rnacentral:rRNA from 1 species
CCUGUUUAUUAAAAACAUGGCUUAUGGUUAAUAAUUUUAGGUUUAACCUGCCCAAUGAAUUUUAAAUGGCUGCGGUAUUUUGACCGUACAAAGGUAGCAUAAUCAUUAGUUUUUUAAUUGAAAGCUGGAAUGAAGGGUUGGAUGAAAAGAUUUCUGUCUCUAUUUAAAUUUUUUAAAAUUUUAUUUUUAAGUUAAAAAGCUUAAAUUUUUAUUGAAGACGAGAAGACCCUAUAGAGUUUUAUAAUUUUAAAAUUAUAUUUGAAUUUUAGGAAUUUAUGAGUUAAUAUAAAAAUUAUUUUGUUGGGGUGAUAGAAAAAUUUAAAAAACUUUUUAGAGUCAAAUCAUUGAUUUGUGGGUUUUUGAUCCUUAUUAAAGAUUAGAAGAUAAAAUUACCUUAGGGAUAACAGCGUAAUUUUUUAUAGAGUUCUUAUUGAAUAAAAAGUUUGCGACCUCGAUGUUGGAUUAAAAAAAAUUAUUGGUGUAGAAGCUAAUAAAUUGAGUCUGUUCGACUUUUAAAAUUUUACAUGAUCUGAGUUUAAACCGGUGUGAGCCAGGUCGGUUUCUAUCU